UACGUAGGGGGCAAGCGUUGUCCGGAUUUAUUGGGCGUAAAGAGCGUGUAGGCGGUCAGGUAGGUCCGUUGUGAAAACUCGAGGCUCAACCUCGAGACGCCGAUGGAAACCAUCUGACUAGAGUCCGGAAGAGGAGAGUGGAAUUCCUGGUGUAGCGGUGAAAUGCGCAGAUAUCAGGAAGAACACCGGUGGCGAAGGCGGUGGGCUGGGCCGGCACUGACGCUGAGGAGCGAAAGCGUGGGGAGCGAACAGG
rnacentral:rRNA from 1 species